GUCACUUCGAGCCUGUUUGAUGCCUGGAGGCUCCGAUGCUGACUCAAAGACAAAUUCGUUGCUGUUCCAAAAAAAAGAAGGAAAGAAAGAAAGGCGGACAUAACUCAACCAAGGAGAUGACCCGUGAGGAAAGGUUUUUGUCUGAUGGAUAAGCAGCAUGCUCUGGUCACUGAUGUCCCUGGUGCCAUUUUGGAGUUUGUUCUGAACCCUCCGGAAAGACAGCCGACAUGUUGGAGCACAUCUCGUGGAGAACAACAGUUUCAUAAGUGACAUGAUUAAGAGAUAUGUCCUAUCGAGAACACCAAGGUCUCCCAGCAACCUGCAACCUGGCUGAAGUGUGAGGAGUCUGUGGGUGUGUAGGGGCCUAAACAAAGGAAUUUACUUCCUGACUCCCUCAGGGAUAUAGAUUUACUGUCCACUCUUAAUUCUAUUUUACACUGUACAUUUGUUGUUGAAAAUACAAUCUGAGGAACUUACUGUAUUUCACUCUCGAAAUGGUUUGAUCUAUUUUUUACUCACUGUAAAACAAUUUGGCAAUAUAAAUCAAUCUUAUUAGAAUCGAUCUGAGCGGCUCUGAGCUGGAGUUGUUUUUUGUUGUGGGUCGUGUCCUCUUGCUGCCCAUGUAUGCUUUCCUUUGCAGUCUCAGUCCCGGAUUAAAGUAGAUUUAAAUAUUGCUAACCGAUGAGCGGGGAUAUAUUCAUAUCUGUAAUUAACAUUUAUUACACAGCAAUAUGAAGACUUUCAAAGGAUGAAGCUGAAGUCAGGUUUGUUCUUAGCUGCUCUUUAGAUUGUCUUGUCCCAUGCCAAGGAUGAAAUUCAACUGUGAUUCAGUGCAAGGAUUUUAUUUUUAAUUAAGAUUUUGUUAUCUACCUCACUGUAUCCACCUCCACACCUCGACGAUCAGCUCCACACAGCCAGCCACUAUGCAACAUAUCAGUCGACCACUCUACGCAAUCCAUUGUCUGUAGUCCCCAGGGUCUUUACCUAGUUCAGCCAUGUGAACAAAUUUUAGAGGGUACACAGCAUCAAAUACUGUUA